GAUGAACGCUGGCGGCGUGCCUAAUACAUGCAAGUCGAGCGAACAGACGAGGAGCUUGCUCCUCUGACGUUAGCGGCGGACGGGUGAGUAACACGUGGAUAACCUACCUAUAAGACUGGGAUAACUUCGGGAAACCGGAGCUAAUACCGGAUAACAUGUUGAACCGCAUGGUUCAACAGUGAAAGACGGUUUUGCUGUCACUUAUAGAUGGAUCCGCGCCGCAUUAGCUAGUUGGUAAGGUAACGGCUUACCAAGGCAACGAUGCGUAGCCGACCUGAGAGGGUGAUCGGCCACACUGGAACUGAGACACGGUCCAGACUCCUACGGGAGGCAGCAGUAGGGAAUCUUCCGCAAUGGGCGAAAGCCUGACGGAGCAACGCCGCGUGAGUGAAGAAGGUCUUCGGAUCGUAAAACUCUGUUAUUAGAGAAGAACAAAUGUGUAAGUAACUAUGCACGUCUUGACGGUACCUAAUCAGAAAGCCACGGCUAACUACGUG
rnacentral:rRNA from 1 species